rnacentral:rRNA from 1 species
CGAAGGGAGCUAGCGUUGUUCGGAAUCACUGGGCGUAAAGCGUGCGUAGGCGGCUUUGCAAGUCAGGGGUGAAAUCCCAUAGCUUAACUAUGGAACUGCCUUUGAAACUGCAAAGCUAGAAUGUGAGAGGGGAUGGCGGAAUUCCUAAUGUAGAGGUGAAAUUCGUAGAUAUUAGGAGGAACACCCGUGGCGAAAGCGGCCAUCUGGAUCACAAUUGACGCUGAUGUACGAAAGCGUGGGUAGCAAACAGGAUUAGAUACCCUGGUAGUCCACGCCAUAAACGAUGAGUGCUAGCCGUCGGGCCCGUAGGGUUCGGUGGCGCCGCUAACGCAUUAAGCACUCCGCCUGGGGAGUACGGUCGCAAGAUUA